CUUGAUGAGUUCACCCAUAACAAAGUGAGAAGAGAAAGGGAGAAAGAAAGGAAGAAAGGAGGAAGAAGAAAAAGGAAAGGAUAGAUCGGUUUAGUGAACUCGAGACAAGUAAGUAGCAAGAAUCUACAAGGAUUCAAGGGACCUGAGGCAUGCAUGUAGGUAGAUCUUAGAAUGCAUGGUGAUUUUGGAGCUAAAUAAGCAAUGGCAAAGGUGACCUUAGAUGUGAGGAAGUUGUGAAUCAUAUUUGAAAAUUCAAGCUUAAACCGAGAGUUAAGUAAUCGGUACAAGUGCACCGCUCAGCAGAUCAAGACUAGCUGCAACGUAGGUAAUGGCAUCUCUUAGACUUCCACUCCGAGUUGCUCCGUUGCCUAAAGGUCAUGUUGUGUCAAAUAGUCAGACUUAUAAUGAUAAAUAGUUUAUGAAAAUGUAUUUGCUAAACCUCGAGGUUUUGUAAUGAUUACCACUUAUUAUGUUGAAUAUGUUGUGGACUUAUUAAACCAGGUUAUUGGU